UACGAAGGGGGCUAGCGUUGUUCGGAAUUACUGGGCGUAAAGCGCACGUAGGCGGACUCUUAAGUCAGGGGUGAAAUCCCGGGGCUCAACCCCGGAACUGCCUUUGAUACUGGUAGUCUCGAGUCCGGAAGAGGUGAGUGGAAUUCCGAGUGUAGAGGUGAAAUUCGUAGAUAUUCGGAGGAACACCAGUGGCGAAGGCGGCUCACUGGUCCGGUACUGACGCUGAGGUGCGAAAGCGUGGGGAGCAAACAGG
rnacentral:rRNA from 1 species